rnacentral:rRNA from 1 species
GAUGAACGCUGGCGGCGUGCCUAAUACAUGCAAGUCGAGCGAACAGAUGAGGAGCUUGCUCCUCUGACGUUAGCGGCGGACGGGUGAGUAACACGUGGAUAACCUACCUAUAAGACUGGGAUAACUUCGGGAAACCGGAGCUAAUACCGGAUAAUGUAUUGAACCGCAUGGUUCAAUAGUGAAAGACGGUUUUGCUGUCACUUAUAGAUGGAUCCGCGCCGCAUUAGCUAGUUGGUAAGGUAACGGCUUACCAAGGCAACGAUGCGUAGCCGACCUGAGAGGGUGAUCGGCCACACUGGAACUGAGACACGGUCCAGACUCCUACGGGAGGCAGCAGUAGGGAAUCUUCCGCAAAGGGCGAAAGCUUGACGGAGCAACGCCGCGUGAGUGAUGAAGGUCUUCGGAUCGUAAAACUCUGUUAUUAGGGAAGAACAAAUGUGUAAGUAACUAUGCACGUCUUGACGGUACCUAAUCAGAAAGCCACGGCUAACUACGUG